CCCAGAAUACCUUGCGUGUUCUCAUUCCCUUCCGCUGUUUGCUCCCAGCACCGCCACACCGGUCACUUGUCUGUUCAGUGCCGUUCACCUGCUGCUGAAAAGUGCGGAAUGGAUAUCUCGCCAAGCGUGCAGCAGCUUUUGCAUCCUCGGGAGUC
rnacentral:lncRNA from 1 species